UACAUAGGGUGCGAGCGUUGUCCGGAAUUAUUGGGCGUAAAGAGCUCGUAGGCGGCUUGUCGCGUCGGAUGUGAAAGCCCGGGGCUUAACUCCGGGUCUGCAUUCGAUACGGGCAGGCUAGAGUUCGGUAGGGGAGAUCGGAAUUCCUGGUGUAGCGGUGAAAUGCGCAGAUAUCAGGAAGAACACCCGUGGCGAAGGCGGCUCUCUGGGACGGUACUGACGCUGAGACGCGAAAGCGUGGGGAGCGAACAGG
rnacentral:rRNA from 1 species